GCUUCAAUAGCUCAGUCGGUUAGAGCAUCUGACUGUUAAUCAGAGGGUCGUUGGUUCGAGUCCAUCUUGAAGCGCAA
rnacentral:tRNA from 11 species